rnacentral:rRNA from 1 species
AGAGUUUGAUCCUGGCUCAGGAUGAACGCUGGCGGCGUGCUUAACACAUGCAAGUCGAACGAAGCACCUUGAUUCGAUUCUUCGGAUGAAGAUCUUGGUGACUGAGUGGCGGACGGGUGAGUAACGCGUGGGUAACCUGCCUCAUACAGGGGGAUAACAGUUAGAAAUGACUGCUAAUACCGCAUAAGACCACAGCACCGCAUGGUGCAGGGGUAAAAACUCCGGUGGUAUGAGAUGGACCCGCGUCUGAUUAGGUAGUUGGUGGGGUAACGGCCUACCAAGCCGACGAUCAGUAGCCGACCUGAGAGGGUGACCGGCCACAUUGGGACUGAGACACGGCCCAAACUCCUACGGGAGGCAGCAGUGGGGAAUAUUGCACAAUGGGGGAAACCCUGAUGCAGCGACGCCGCGUGAGCGAUGAAGUAUUUCGGUAUGUAAAGCUCUAUCAGCAGGGAAGAAAAUGACGGUACCUGACUAAGAAGCACCGGCUAAAUACGUGCCAGCAGCCGCGGUAAUACGUAUGGUGCAAGCGUUAUCCGGAUUUACUGGGUGUAAAGGGAGCGUAGACGGAGUGGCAAGUCUGAUGUGAAAACCCGGGGCUCAACCCCGGGACUGCAUUGGAAACUGUCAAUCUAGAGUACCGGAGAGGUAAGCGGAAUUCCUAGUGUAGCGGUGAAAUGCGUAGAUAUUAGGAGGAACACCAGUGGCGAAGGCGGCUUACUGGACGGUAACUGACGUUGAGGCUCGAAAGCGUGGGGAGCAACAGGAUUAGAUACCCUGGUAGUCCACGCCGUAAACGAUGACUACUAGGUGUCGGGCAGCAAAGCUGUUCGGUGCCGCAGCAAACGCAAUAAGUAGUCCACCUGGGGAGUACGUUCGCAAGAAUGAAACUCAAAGGAAUUGACGGGGACCCGCACAAGCGGUGGAGCAUGUGGUUUAAUUCGAAGCAACGCGAAGAACCUUACCUGCUCUUGACAUCUCCCUGACCGGCAAGUAAUGUUGCCUUUCCUUCGGGACAGGGAUGACAGGUGGUGCAUGGUUGUCGUCAGCUCGUGUCGUGAGAUGUUGGGUUAAGUCCCGCAACGAGCGCAACCCCUAUCUUUAGUAGCCAGCGGUCAGGCCGGGCACUCUAGAGAGACUGCCAGGGAUAACCUGGAGGAAGGUGGGGAUGACGUCAAAUCAUCAUGCCCCUUAUGAGCAGGGCUACACACGUGCUACAAUGGCGUAAACAAAGGGAGGCAGAACCGCGAGGUCGAGCAAAUCCCAAAAAUAACGUCUCAGUUCGGAUUGUAGUCUGCAACUCGACUACAUGAAGCUGGAAUCGCUAGUAAUCGCGAAUCAGAAUGUCGCGGUGAAUACGUUUCCGGGUCUUGU